GCCAGCAUGGUGUAGUGGUUUAAGUGUGGGACUAUGACUCUGGAGACCAGAGUUCGAAUCCCUGCUUAGCCA
rnacentral:tRNA from 1 species